ACCUCUGUGGUGUAGUGGUAGCAAUCGUCCCCGGUAUAGAUAAAACGCGGGUUCGACUCCCGUCUAAGGUC